ACAAAAAGUGAUAAGAUUAUUAUAAUGAAAGUGUAUACUGACAUUAUAAUAAUUUUAUUCAUGUUCUAUAAACAAAUACCUUCACGUGGUAUAGAAUGAACAAUGUAUUGGAACAGUACAUUGACUAAGAUUUGUUAUAAUAAAAAUUGAAAGUUUCAACAUAUUUUUUUUGUGUUUGAAUGUAUAGGGAAUUAUAUUAGAAGAAUUCAUUUAAAUGUGGUCUAAACUUUUGUUGGAAAUGUUUUUAGUUAAAAAUUUUGUUCUAGAUGUAUAAUAUAAAAUUAUAUAACUAAUAAACUUUUAAUAU
rnacentral:misc_RNA from 1 species